rnacentral:rRNA from 1 species
UAAGCAUAUCAAUAAGCGGAGGAAAAGAAACCAACAGGGAUUGCCCUAGUAACGGCGAGUGAAGCGGCAACAGCUCAAAUUUGAAAUCUGGCGUAAGCCCGAGUUGUAAUUUGUAGAGGAUGCUUCUGGGUAGCGGCCGGUCUAAGUUCCUUGGAACAGGACGUCAUAGAGGGUGAGAAUCCCGUAUGUGACUGGCUUGCACCCUCCACGUAGCUCCUUCGACGAGUCGAGUUGUUUGGGAAUGCAGCUCUAAAUGGGAGGUAAAUUUCUUCUAAAGCUAAAUACCGGCCAGAGACCGAUAGCGCACAAGUAGAGUGAUCGAAAGAUGAAAAGCACUUUGGAAAGAGAGUUAAAAAGCACGUGAAAUUGUUGAAAGGGAAGCGCCCGCAACCAGACUUUGCGGCGGUGUUCGGCUGGUCUUCUGACCGGUUUACUCGCCGCCGUGAGGCCAUCAUCGUCUGGGACCGCUGGAUAAGACCUGAGGAAUGUAGCUCCCUUCGGGGUGUGUUAUAGCCUCUGGUGAUGCAGCGCGUCUCGGGCGAGGUCCGCGCUUCGGCAAGGAUGAUGGCGUAAUGGUUGUCGGCGGCCCGUCUUGAAACACGGACCAAGGAGUCUAACAUCUAUGCGAGUGUUCGGGUGUCAAACCCCUACGCGUAAUGAAAGUGAACGGAGGUGGGAACUUUUUGUGCACCAUCGACCGAUCCUGAUGUCCUCGGAUGGAUUUGAGUAAGAGCAUAGCUGUUGGGACCCGAAAGAUGGUGAACUAUGCCUGAAUAGGGUGAAGCCAGAGGAAACUCUGGUGGAGGCUCGCAGCGGUUCUGACGUGCAAAUCGAUCGUCAAAUUUGGGUAUAGGGGCGAAAGACUAAUCGAACCAUCUAGUAGCUGGUUCCUGCCGA